rnacentral:misc_RNA from 1 species
UGGUGGUUGUUGGGGUUGUGGGUUAUAUGAAAACACCCCGUGGUCUCCGUUCACUGAACACUGUCUGGGCCCAACAUUUGAGUGAGGAAGUGAAGAGGAGAUUCUACAAGAACUGGUGCAAGUCCAAGAAGAAGGCAUUCACCAAGUACUCUAAAAAGUUUGAAUCUGAAGAUGGGAAGAAAGAUAUUCAGUCUCAGUUGGAGAAACUGAAGAAGCAUUGUUCUGUUAUUCGAGUCUUGGCGCACACCCAGAUCAGAAAGAUGAAAGGGUUGAAGCAGAAGAAAGCCCAUCUGAUGGAGAUUCAGGUAAAUGGUGGGGAUGUUGCCAAGAAGGUCGACUUUGCCUACAGUUUCUUUGAGAAGCA